GUGGGCAUCGUCUAGCGGCCAGGACCGACGAUUCUCGAUCGUCGUACGCGGGUUCGACUCCCGCUGCCCACG
rnacentral:tRNA from 1 species